GGGUCAGUAGGUUGGUCGUGCCACCGGUACGUACUGGUCUCACUGAUUCCUCCUUCCUGAAGAACCGUAAUGCCAUUAAUUUGGUGUUGCGGGGAAACAGGACUGUUACUUUGAAAAAAUUAGAGUGUUUAAAGCAAGCUAACGCUUGAAUACAUUAGCAUGGAAUAAUGAAAUAGGACGAUCGAUCCCAUUUUGUUGGUUUCUAGGAUUGACGUAAUGUUAAUAGGGAUAGUUGGG
rnacentral:rRNA from 1 species